AGGGAGUGCGACCUCGCUGCUGAGUUAGCCUGGCUCUUGAGCCGGGCUGAUAGAAACUCCCCCAAUCCCCACUUGUUUCUGUGUUUAGGGUUUGGCAAACUGGUGUUUUCACUCUCAGGGGCUAGCUCCAUUUGUCUGGCCACUUUUCUGACUACAGUGCUGGGUACUGCACCUUUACAACAAGGCUGUGAGGGCUGAGCACUCAGAGGCAGAGGCUGGGGGAUCCCUGAGUUCAAGGCUACCCAGGGCUACGCAGAAGGGCACCUGGUUCCCCAGCAUCCCAGACAACAGUCCCCUGUGUGGCUCCUGGUGUGAUGUGCACUAGGCCCAGAAGGACAUGGAGAGAAUGUGCACAGCCUUGUCCCGGCGCUGGAAAACAGAAGCUAACCUGUAAGCAACUAGAGGAUGUUUUCAGCUCGUGAGGAAGACUUAGCUUUUAAAAAGUAAAAAGCAGGAACAGGUAAGAGGCGUGGGCAUGGGUGGCAUGGGGGGAGGGGUCUAUCGAGGUGAGAGCUGACCAGAUAAGCAUGGGAUCCGGGAACACAGAGUCUGACUCUAAGCAGCUGGAGUGUCAGACUCUACUGUGUCUUACACAGGACACCAGAGAAGUACCGGCUGCUUCCAGGGCUGGGAGUUGAUUCCUGUUAAUGCCAAGAAACUAGGAUGCCUCCAUUUCCUUGUUCUCCUUACCACUUUAAUAAAGAAAAAGAAUCACGUGUUUCA
rnacentral:lncRNA from 1 species